rnacentral:tRNA from 1 species
GCCUUCGUGGUGUAAUUGGAAACACACUCGGCCCGUAUUCGUGAGGUUCGGGUUCGAGUCCCAGCGAAGGCA